rnacentral:misc_RNA from 1 species
GAAAUGCGAUACGCAAUGCGAAUUGCAGAAUUCCGCGAGUCAUCAGAUCUUUGAACGCAAUUGGCGCUGGUUUAACCGCCAGCAUGUUUGUUUCAGUGUGUUAGGAAUCACACAUCUCAAUGCGAUUGAGGGACCUCUGCCCCCCCCUUUAUUGGGGGGGUUUAGAAGGCCCUUCUCUCGUUAAACACGGAGGUGUCGAGCUUUAGCGCGACCGAACGAAGUAGUCACUUCUUGAAAGUGAUCUCGUUCGUUGUUGGCGGGCUCAACUAAGACGCUUCAUAAAAAAUUUCAUCAAGAAGAGGAAUUUACUCUUCUUCUUUUUCCUUCCCACAACACCUGAAAUCAAGCAAGAUCACCCGCUGAACUUAA